UGGGGAAUAUUGCACAAUAGGCGAAAGCCUGAUGCAGCGACGCCGCGUGAGGGAUGACGGCCUUCGGGUUGUAAACCUCUUUCAGCAGGGACGAAGCGCAAGUGACGGUACCUGCAGAAGAAGCACCGGCUAACUACGUGCCAGCAGCCGCGGUAAUACGUAGGGUGCAAGCGUUGUCCGGAAUUACUGGGCGUAAAGAGUUCGUAGGCGGUUUGUCGCGUCGUUUGUGAAAACCAGCAGCUCAACUGCUGGCUUGCAGGCGAUACGGGCAGACUUGAGUACUGCAGGGGAGACUGGAAUUCCUGGUGUAGCGGUGAAAUGCGCAGAUAUCAGGAGGAACACCGGUGGCGAAGGCGGGUCUCUGGGCAGUAACUGACGCUGAGGAACGAAAGCGUGGGUAGCGAACAGG
rnacentral:rRNA from 1 species